AUUGAACGCUGGCGGAAUGCUUUACACAUGCAAGUCGAACGGCAGCACGGGGGCAACCCUGGUGCGAGUGGCGAACGGGUGAGUAAUACAUCGGAACGUGCCCAGUCGUGGGGGAUAACGUAGCGAAAGUUACGCUAAUACCGCAUACGAUCUAUGGAUGAAAGCGGGGGACCGUAAGGCCUCGCGCGAUUGGAGCGGCCGAUGUCAGAUUAGGUAGUUGGUGGGGUAAAGGCCCACCAAGCCGACGAUCUGUAGCUGGUCUGAGAGGACGACCAGCCACACUGGGACUGAGACACGGCCCAGACUCCUACGGGAGGCAGCAGUGGGGAAUUUUGGACAAUGGGCGCAAGCCUGAUCCAGCCAUUCCGCGUGCAGGACGAAGGCCUUCGGGUUGUAAACUGCUUUUGUACGGAACGAAAAGGUCCUGGUUAAUACCCGGGGCUCAUGACGGUACCGUAAGAAUAAGCACCGGCUAACUACGUGCCAGCCGCCGCCGUAAUAC
rnacentral:rRNA from 1 species